rnacentral:lncRNA from 1 species
GGAGAGCUACAAGUGAACAAGGGCGCCUUUAAUUGUUCCAAGAAGAUGCGUUAGGCUACUUACUACUAUCCAAAAGCGUUGGCCUUUUGUUUUGGAUAAAGGUAUACACUUGCAGUUUAGAAUAUGUUCGUUUUUAGCAUCGCAGCCAGUAGCCAUUCAGUGAAUUUCUUGUAAGCAUCGUCAUGAGCUCGAUGCCGGAGGGAGAUUGGAGAAUCAUGAAGCCUGCC